GACGAACGCUGGCGGCGUGCCUAAUACAUGCAAGUCGUGCGGACCUUUUAAAAGCUUGCUUUUAAAAGGUUAGCGGCGGACGGGUGAGUAACACGUGGGCAACCUGCCUGUAAGACUGGGAUAACGCCGGGAAACCGGGGCUAAUACCAGAUCGUUUUUUCCUCCGCAUGGAGGAAAAAGGAAAGGCGGCUUCGGCUGCCACUUACAGAUGGGCCCGCGGCGCAUUAGCUAGUUGGCGGGGUAACGGCCCACCAAGGCAACGAUGCGUAGCCGACCUGAGAGGGUGGAUGGGCACCAUUGGACUUGGGCACGGCCCAAACUUCCUCGGGAGGCAGCAGUAGGGAAUCUUCCGCAAUGGACGAAAGUCUGACGGAGCAACGCCGCGUGAGUGAAGAAGGCCUUCGGGUCGUAAAACUCUGUUGCCGGGGAAGAACAAGUGCCGUUCGAACAGGGCGGCGCCUUGACGGUACCCGGCCAGAAAGCCACGGCUAACUACGUG
rnacentral:rRNA from 1 species